GCCAAUGCUACACUUCCUUAGCUAGGAGCUAGCAAUGCUACGUGGAAUUGCAUGUCGAAAAUAUUUAAAAAGUCAACCUGCCAUCUCUCCUGCCCUGCUCGUCCAAGUUCCCACUCUAGUUCCAGUACUGGCAGGCUUCACCACUAUAUCCCAGCAGGGUCCUGCUUGGCAUGUUCUCCCAGGUAUCUUCUGAGAGGUUGUUCUCUCUCCACUUCUCAUUCAAGUCUGAAGAUGCUUACAGUCACCUGCAGUACUUCUAAAUCAGAUUUAUACCCCAUGGCAUAAAACAAAGCAACGUAGAAAAUCUCUGACUGCUCCAUAAUGCUGACUUCACAAAGUCCCCAGCCACCCACAGGAUCUCUCAAAGUUGUCAUCUGGAGGAUAGGGGAGCUUUGGGGAAAAAAUCAGAGCCCCUCAAUUACCAAUUCUGACAACUCUUAUUUUAGCUUGAAUCUCCCCAUGCAAAUAGACAGUUGACAUGUGAUUGGAGAAGAAAUAGAAAGUUUUGAGAUGGAAGAGGUCACAGCUCCAAUGAUCUCAGCCGAAGAAGAUGAGGAAGAAGACCAGCACAAGUGGUAAGAAUCAGAGUCUCUCUCAAAUCAGCUUUUGCUGGUAUCAGGAUUUCUCUGGAGGACUCAACAAAGUCCUCUCCAUGCCUGAGAUUCCUACAAUGAUUGAAAUUCCAUUGUUUCUUCCCCGUGGAAUAACCAUAAGCUUCCUGAGGGAGUGCACCUCAGAGAGGCCUCGCCUGGGACUUGAAACAUCCAGCCCACUGUACGCUGUGGCAUUUGGACAGGUUCUUGCCUCGAGUUCCUGCUCUGCCUUCAUUUCACUAUACCUAGAAGCUGAAAUAAACUAUUUCCUCCACAA
rnacentral:lncRNA from 1 species